rfam:Mesorhizobium huakuii 7653R genome.
AUCCGUUCGGUGUUUUCCUCCCAUUUCACCGAGCGGUGUUCCCCUCUGAAGGUUAUGACCUUCUUUUUGGCCGGGCCGGUUUCGCGCCCGGCCUUU